GACGAACGCUGGCUUUGUGCUUAACACAUGCAAGUCGAACGGAAAGGCCCUGCUUUUGUGGGGUGCUCGAGUGGCGAACGGGUGAGUAACACGUGAGUAACCUGCCCUUGACUUUGGGAUAACUUCAGGAAACUGGGGCUAAUACCGGAUAGGAGCUCCUGCUGCAUGGUGGGGGUUGGAAAGUUUCGGCGGUUGGGGAUGGACUCGCGGCUUAUCAGCUUGUUGGUGGGGUAGUGGCUUACCAAGGCUUUGACGGGUAGCCGGCCUGAGAGGGUGACCGGCCACAUUGGGACUGAGAUACGGCCCAGACUCCUACGGGAGGCAGCAGUGGGGAAUAUUGCACAAUGGGCGGAAGCCUGAUGCAGCAACGCCGCGUGCGGGAUGACGGCCUUCGGGUUGUAAACCGCUUUCGCCUGUGACGAAGCGUGAGUGACGGUAAUGGGUAAAGAAGCACCGGCUAACUACGUGCCAGCAGCCGCGGUGAUACGUAGGGUGCGAGCGUUGUCCGGAUUUAUUGGGCGUAAAGGGCUCGUAGGUGGUUGAUCGCGUCGGAAGUGUAAUCUUGGGGCUUAACCCUGAGCGUGCUUUCGAUACGGGUUGACUUGAGGAAGGUAGGGGAGAAUGGAAUUCCUGGUGGAGCGGUGGAAUGCGCAGAUAUCAGGAGGAACACCAGUGGCGAAGGCGGUUCUCUGGGCCUUUCCUGACGCUGAGGAGCGAAAGCGUGGGGAGCGAACAGGCUUAGAUACCCUGGUAGUCCACGCUGUAAACGGUGGGUACUAGGUGUGGGGUCCAUUCCACGGGUUCCGUGCCGUAGCUAACGCUUUAAGUACCCCGCCUGGGGAGUACGGCCGCAAGGCUAAAACUCAAAGGAAUUGACGGGGCCCCGCACAAGCGGCGGAGCAUGCGGAUUAAUUCGAUGCAACGCGUAGAACCUUACCUGGGUUUGACAUGGAUCGGGAGCGCUCAGAGAUGGGUGUGCCUCUUUUGGGGUCGGUUCACAGGUGGUGCAUGGCUGUCGUCAGCUCGUGUCGUGAGAUGUUGGGUUAAGUCCCGCAACGAGCGCAACCCUUGUUCACUGUUGCCAGCACGUUAUGGUGGGGACUCAGUGGAGACCGCCGGGGUCAACUCGGAGGAAGGUGGGGAUGACGUCAAGUCAUCAUGCCCCUUAUGUCCAGGGCUUCACGCAUGCUACAAUGGCUGGUACAGAGAGUGGCGAGCCUGUGAGGGUGAGCGAAUCUCGGAAAGCCGGUCUCAGUUCGGAUUGGGGUCUGCAACUCGACCUCAUGAAGUCGGAGUCGCUAGUAAUCGCAGAUCAGCAACGCUGCGGUGAAUACGUUCCCGGGGCU
rnacentral:rRNA from 1 species